UACGAAGGGGGCUAGCGUUGCUCGGAAUCACUGGGCGUAAAGGGUGCGUAGGCGGGUCUUUAAGUCAGGGGUGAAAUCCUGGAGCUCAACUCCAGAACUGCCUUUGAUACUGAAGAUCUUGAGUUCGGGAGAGGUGAGUGGAACUGCGAGUGUAGAGGUGAAAUUCGUAGAUAUUCGCAAGAACACCAGUGGCGAAGGCGGUUGCCUGGGGCUUUGCUGACGCUGAUGCGCGAAAGCGUGGGGAGCAAUCCGG
rnacentral:rRNA from 1 species